rnacentral:lncRNA from 1 species
GGAUCCAGAAAUAAUAUUUAGGGGGGGCUGGGCCAAAGAGAGCUAGAGCAAUUGGACUCAAUUAUAUCCCAUACGAAGCUAAACUAUAGCAGUUUUGAACCUUUUACAUGAUAACUAUAAUAAAUAAUCGAAAGCGUAUUAUAAAACGCAUAAGUAUAAAAAUAAAAGAUACAGUUUUUCAUAACUAACCAACAAAGAUCGACGUUCCGCACUUUCGCACUGCUGCAUUCUUCAUGAAUCAUUAGAAGCAAUCUAUAUACAGAAAAAAAUUAGUGACACAAAUUUCAAGUAUACAACUUCAAAGUUUUGGAGGUACAAGAGAACACAUAUCAUACCACUAAAUUGUUCCGAGGCACUAACAUACGCCGUGUUUUCAUGUCUUCAAAUCUUUUUAUGAUUUUGUCAUUCUUGAUGUUUCUAAAUAUCUCCUUCUCAGUGUAGCAUAUCAUUUGGUCAUUGAGCCAUUCAUCACCCAUUCUGUUACGUAAAUCUGUCUUUAUAAUAGACAUAGCAGAAAAUAUCCUUUCAACUGUAGCUGUUGCCACUGGAAGAAUUAAUGUUAAUUCAAUGAGCCGAUAAACCAAUCCAUAAGAUGUUUUCAUAUUGGUCUUCACCAUAAUUUCAGCAACCUUUCCAAGCUCUGUACAUCCAAGAAAGUCUGGACUUUUUCUAGCACGAUUGGCAAAUCCUCUAAGUUGAGCAGGCAAACGAGCAAGGUCACCAACAUAAAAAUCCGCAGCAUAAAUUUCAGCAAGUCUUACAAGUUUUUCCACAUCAAAAUUAGAAAAGCAGUUCCUUGGGUUAAGACAUGCCAUGCAGACUAAUAAUUCUGAACUAACUUCACCAAAUCGAUGAUUCAUCUCACACAAAAUGGCAUCUAUGGCAGCAAGGAAAACCUCAACAUGGAAGAAGUGCUUGUUUGUUACCUUUAGCUUUCUACGUGUAGAUGUCCCUCUAGCAUUUGUUUCCUUGUCCAUAUCUGGCACUUCAAUCUCAUUCUUAACACAAAAUGCUAUCACUCUUGACAACAAGGGAUCCCAUCCACUGUCCCUCAAAUCCUGCAACAGCUCUUUCACAUCUGUGAUCAAAUGUAUUGCCUCAACAAUGUCUUGAUCCUUCCUUUGCAAAGCACGUGAUAGACUAUCAGUAAUGCUCAACAAUUCUAUCAUUAAAUGCAUUAUGAACACAAAAUCAAAGCUCUCCAUUUUACCAAUUAAACCAAAUCCAGCACCAUUGCUUGUUGGUUUAACAGAGUCUUUCUUGACUAUCUCAAGAAUGUCUGUGACAGCUUCCCACAUCACCAAAAUACGAAGUUGAUGCACUACUUGAGCCAGAAUAAUAUGCGUGCAAUGUUCUUUUGGACAUUUUCAACAAUCUGCAAUUUAUAAAAUCUUAUAAUAGAAUUUGAAACAAUUAAAAAUUACAAAGUUGAAGUUAAAAGGAAAAUUCUAAAGAAAACGAACAUGUAUAUUAGUAUAUACCUGCCGCUAGGUGCUUGGUUGCUUGCUGUCGCUUGCUUGCCGGCGGCGGCUUGCGUCUUGGCGUCUUGCAAAUUGCAAUACACCUCAGCGCCUUGCCUGCUCGGCUGCUCGCCGCGCGUGCAGUCCCUGCUCGCGUGGGCGUCCGCCGUCCGGCCAGUGGCCGCUGCCGCCUACCGACGGCGUGCUGGGCUGCCGUCUGCCGCGUCGCCCGUCCGCUGCCGGCCUGCCGCUGCCCGUUGCCGUUGGGAUCCCGUCCGCCGCGUCGCUGGGAUCCCGUCCGCCGUGCUGCUGGCCGCGCAGCUGUCGCCGUCGCCGCCGGCCGCCGCAACGCCGCGCCGCGCGCCCGCGUGCAGGAAAACCUAGGUGCUCUGCUCGACCUCGACUGGCCUCCCCUCCUCCCUCACGAUGGACAGGAAAACAAUGAAAAAAGGCCUGCUUCUUAAUGGGCUCCGAACAGCUUCUCUAUUUUAUAUACUGGGCCACUCAAUGACUCAAAUAC